rnacentral:rRNA from 1 species
UACGGAGGGUGCAAGCGUUAUCCGGAUUCACUGGGUUUAAAGGGUGCGUAGGUGGGUCUGUAAGUCAGUGGUGAAAUCUCCGGGCUUAACUUGGAAACUGCCAUGGAUACUAUAGGUCUUGAAUACUGUGGAGGUCAGCGGAAUAUGUCAUGUAGCGGUGAAAUGCUUAGAUAUGACAUAGAACACCAAUUGCGAAGGCAGCUGGCUACACAAAUAUUGACACUGAGGCACGAAAGCGUGGGGAUCAAACAGG